rfam:Triticum aestivum genome assembly, contig: Triticum_aestivum_CS42_TGACv1_scaffold_093955_2AL
CAGUUACUUCCUUCGUUCCGAAUUACUUGUCAUAGAUAUGAAUAUAUAUAAAUGUAUUUUAGUUCUAGAUAUAUUCAUUUCUGCGACGAGUAAUUUGGAGAUACAUCCAUACCUGCGACAAGUAAUUCGGAACGGAGGGAGUACACU